rnacentral:rRNA from 1 species
UACGAAGGGGGCUAGCGUUGCUCGGAAUUACUGGGCGUAAAGAGUGUGUAGGCGGUGCUCUAAGUCUGUUGUGAAAUCUCCCGGCUUAACCGGGAGGGUGCGGCGGAAACUGGAGUGCUUGAGGGUGGGAGAGGUAAGCGGAAUUCCUGGUGUAGCGGUGAAAUGCGUAGAUAUCAGGAGGAACACCUGUGGUGUAGACAGCUUACUGGACCAUGACUGACGCUGAGGCACGAAAGCGUGGGGAGCAAACAGG